GAUCAUGGCUCAGGACGAACGCUGGCGGCGCGCCUAACACAUGCAAGUCGAACGGAGCUACUUUGAUAGAUCUCUUCGGAGUGACAUUGAUUUAGCUUAGUGGCGAACGGGUGAGUAACACGUGAGGAACCUGCCUUUCAGAGGGGACAACAGUUGGAAACGACUGCUAAUACCGCAUAAGACCACGAUACGGCAUCGUAUUGAGGUCAAAGGAGCAAUCCG
rnacentral:rRNA from 1 species